UACGGGGGGGGCAAGCGUUGUUCGGAAUUACUGGGCGUAAAGGGUUUGUAGGCGGCCGGCUAAGUCAGACGUGAAAUCCCUCAGCUUAACUGGGGAACUGCGUCUGGGACUGGUCGGCUUGAGGGCCGGAGAGGAACGCGGAAUUCCAGGUGUAGCGGUGAAAUGCGUAGAUAUCUGGAGGAACACCGGUGGCUAAGGCGGCUCUCUAGUACGGUACUGACGCUGAGACGCGAAAGCGUGGGGAGCGAACAGG
rnacentral:rRNA from 1 species